rnacentral:rRNA from 1 species
CAGCAGCCGCGGGAAUACGAAGGGGGCUAGCGUUGUUCGGAUUUACUGGGCGUAAAGGGCGCGUAGGCGGACUGAUAAGUCAGGGGUGAAAUCCCAAGGCUCAACCUUGGAACUGCCUUUGAUACUGUUUGUCUUGAGUUCGAGAGAGGUAAGCGGAACUGCGAGUGUAGAGGUGAAAUUCGUAGAUAUUCGCAAGAACACCAGUGGCGAAGGCGGCUUACUGGCUCGAAACUGACGCUGAGGCGCGAAAGCGUGGGGAGCAAACAGGAUUAGAUACCCCGGUAGUCCCUGUCUCUUAUAA